AGGCUGGUAACUCAGUCAGGUAGAGGCCAGUGCACGGGAGGUCGCGGGUUCAAAUCCCGCUCAGCCAAACA
rnacentral:tRNA from 1 species